GUGGGGAAUUUUGGACAAUGGGGGCAACCCUGAUCCAGCCAUGCCGCGUGUGUGAAGAAGGCCUUCGGGUUGUAAAGCACUUUCGGACGGAACGAAAUCGCACGGGUGAAUAUCCCGUGUGGAUGACGGUACUGUAAGAAGAAGCACCGGCUAACUACGUGCCAGCAGCCGCGGUAAUACGUAGGGUGCGAGCGUUAAUCGGAAUUACUGGGCGUAAAGCGUGCGCAGGCGGCUUCGCAAGUCAGACGUGAAAUCCCCGGGCUUAACCUGGGAAUGGCGUUUGAAACUACGGAGCUGGAGUGUGGCAGAGGGGGGUAGAAUUCCACGUGUAGCGGUGAAAUGCGUAGAUAUGUGGAGGAAUACCGAUGGCGAAGGCAGCCCCCUGGGCCAACACUGACGCUCAUGCACGAAAGCGUGGGGAGCAAACAGGAUUAGAUACCCUUGUAGUCC
rnacentral:rRNA from 1 species